GUUGUAGUAUAGUGGUAAGUAU
rnacentral:siRNA from 1 species